GCAUUGCGGCAGCUUACCAUGCAGUCGAGCGGGGGAGGUAGCUUGCUACCGGACCUAGCGGCGGACGGGUGAGUAAUGCUUAGGAAUCUGCCUAUUAGUGGGGGACAACAUCUCGAAAGGGAUGCUAAUACCGCAUACGUCCUACGGGAGAAAGCAGGGGAUCUUCGGACCUUGCGCUAAUAGAUGAGCCUAAGUCGGAUUAGCUAGUUGGUGGGGUAAAGGCCUACCAAGGCGACGAUCUGUAGCGGGUCUGAGAGGAUGAUCCGCCACACUGGGACUGAGACACGGCCCAGACUCCUACGGGAGGCAGCAGUGGGGAAUAUUGGACAAUGGGGGGAACCCUGAUCCAGCCAUGCCGCGUGUGUGAAGAAGGCCUUAUGGUUGUAAAGCACUUUAAGCGAGGAGGAGGCUACUUUAGUUAAUACCUAGAGAUAGUGGACGUUACUCGCAGAAUAAGCACCGGCUAACUCUGUGCCAGCAGCCGCGGUAAUACAGAGGGUGCGAGCGUUAAUCGGAUUUACUGGGCGUAAAGCGUGCGUAGGCGGCUUAUUAAGUCGGAUGUGAAAUCCCCGAGCUUAACUUGGGAAUUGCAUUCGAUACUGGUGAGCUAGAGUAUGGGAGAGGAUGGUAGAAUUCCAGGUGUAGCGGUGAAAUGCGUAGAGAUCUGGAGGAAUACCGAUGGCGAAGGCAGCCAUCUGGCCUAAUACUGACGCUGAGGUACGAAAGCAUGGGGGAGCAAACAGGAUAGUCUCCC
rnacentral:rRNA from 1 species